rnacentral:rRNA from 1 species
ACGCUGAAAGUCCCGAAGCUUGCUUACGGGUGGAUGAUUGGCUGCACACUGGGUGACUAACACGUGACUAACCUGCGCCUGAUUUCGGGAUUAGCCUGGGAAACUGGGUCUAAGACCGGAUACGACCAAUCCUCGCAUGAGGGUUGGUGGAAAGUUUUUCGAUCGGGGAUGGGCUCGCGGCUUAUCAGCUUGUUGGUGGGGUAAUGGCCCACCAAGGCGACGACGGGUAGCCGGCCUGAGAGGGCGACCGGCCACACUGGGACUGAGACACGGCCCAGACUCCUACGGGAGGCAGCAGUGGGGAAUAUUGCACAAUGGGGGAAACCCUGAUGCAGCGACGCAGCGUGCGGGAUGACGGCCUUCGGGUUGUAAACCGCUUUCAGCAGGGAAGAAGCGAAAGUGACGGUACCUGCAGAAGAAGUACCGGCUAGCUACGUGCCAGCAGCCGCGGUAAUACGUAGGGUACGAGCGUUGUCCGGAAUUAUUGGGCGUAAAGAGCUCGUAGGUGGUUGGUCACGUCUGCUGUGGAAACGCAACGCUUAACGUUGCGCGUGCAGUGGGUACGGGCUGACUAGAGUGCAGUAGGGGAGUCUGGAAUUCCUGGUGUAGCGGUGAAAUGCGCAUAUAUCAGGAGGAACACCGGUGGCGAAGGCGGGACUCUGGGCUGUAACUGACACUGAGGAGCGAAAGCAUGGGGAGCGAACAGGAUUAUAUACCCUGGUAGUCCAUGCCGUACACGUUGGGCACUAUGUGUGGGGGACAUUCCACGUUCUCCGCGCCGUAACUAACGCAUUAAGUGCCCCGCCUGGGGAGUACGGUCGCAAGGCUAACACUCAAAGGAAUUGACGGGGGCCCGCACAAGCGGCGGAGCAUGCGGAUUAUUUCUAUGCAACGCGAAGAACCUUACCAAGGCUUGACAUACACUGGACCGUUCUGGAAACAGUUCUUCUCUUUGCAGCU